GAACGAACCCUUCGGGGUUAGUGGCGCACGGGUGCGUAACACGUGGGAAUCUGCCCUUUGCUUCGGAAUAACAGUUAGAAAUGACUGCUAAUACCGGAUAAUGUCGUAAGACCAAAGAUUUAUCGGCAAAGGAUGAGCCCGCGUAGGAUUAGCUUGUUGGUGGGGUAAUGGCCUACCAAGGCGACGAUCCUUAGCUGGUCUGAGAGGAUGAUCAGCCACACUGGGACUGAGACACGGCCCAGACUCCUACGGGAGGCAGCAGUGGGGAGUAUUGGACAAUGGGCGAAAGCCUGAUCCAGCAAUGCCGCGUGAGUGAUGAAGGCCUUCGGGUUGUAAAGCUCUUUUACCCAGGGAUGAUAAUGACAGUACCCUGGAGAAUAAGCUCCGGCUAACUCCGUGCCAGCAGCCGCGGUAAUACGGAGGGAGCUAGCGUUGUUCGGAAUUACUGGGCGUAAAGCGCACGUAGGCGGCGACUCAAGUCAGAGGUGAAAGCCCGGGGCUCAACCCCGGAACUGCCUUUGAAACUAGGUUGCUAGAAUCUUGGAGAGGUCAGUGGAAUUCCGAGUGUAGAGGUGAAAUUCGUAGAUAUUCGGAAGAACACCAGUGGCGAAGGCGACUGACUGGACAAGUAUUGACGCUGAGGUGCGAAAGCGUGGGGAGCAAACA
rnacentral:rRNA from 1 species